rnacentral:rRNA from 1 species
AUUGAACGCUGGCGGCAGGCCUAACACAUGCAAGUCGAGCGGAUGAAGGGAGCUUGCUCCUGGAUUCAGCGGCGGACGGGUGAGUAAUGCCUAGGAAUCUGCCUGGUAGUGGGGGAUAACGUCCGGAAACGGGCGCUAAUACCGCAUACGUCCUGAGGGAGAAAGUGGGGGAUCUUCGGACCUCACGCUAUCAGAUGAGCCUAGGUCGGAUUAGCUAGUUGGUGGGGUAAAGGCCUACCAAGGCGACGAUCCGUAACUGGUCUGAGAGGAUGAUCAGCCACACUGGAACUGAGACACGGUCCAGACUCCUACGGGAGGCAGCAGUGGGGAAUAUUGGACAAAGGGCGAAAGCCUGAUCCAGCCAUGCCGCGUGUGUGAAGAAGGUCUUCGGAUUGUAAAGCACUUUAAGUUGGGAGGAAGGGCAGUAAGUUAAUACCUUGCUGUUUUGACGUUACCAACAGAAUAAGCACCGGCUAACUUCGUG